rnacentral:rRNA from 1 species
GCGGUAUCUUGACCGUGCAAAGGUAGCAUAAUCAUUAGUUUCUUAAUUGGGAACUUGUAUGAAUGGUUGGACAAAGAAAAAUCUGUCUCUUGCACUGAAAUUGAAUUUAACUUCUAAGUGAAAAGGCUUAGAUUAUCCAGAGGGACGAUAAGACCCUAUAAAGCUUUAUAAAUUUAUUAAUUUCGUUUAUUUUUUAUUAUAAUAAUGAUGGUAAGAAAAUUUAUUUGGUUGGGGCAACCGAAGUAUAAUUUUAAAUAACUGCUAUAAUUUAAUACAAUGAUUUUUGUCUUAUACAAUAAUUGAUCCUCAAAGAGAUUAAAGACCAAGUUACUUUAGGGAUAACAGCGUAAUUUAUCCUGAGAGUUCUUAUCAAAGGAAAAGUUUGCGACCUCGAUG